AGGAUAAAAAACAUGCAAUUAACCAAGAGUGACCACAGAAUGAAGUUCUCCACAGUAUGUCAUAGUCAUUCAGUAGUGCUAUGUUUUCCUGAGGAGAAAAACAU
rnacentral:snoRNA from 1 species